CAGUCGCCGCGGGAAUACGUAGGGUGCAAGCGUUGUCCGGAAUUAUUGGGCGUAAAGAGCUCGUAGGCGGUUUGUCGCGUCUGCUGUGAAAUCCCGAGGCUCAACCUCGGGCUUGCAGUGGGUACGGGCAGACUAGAGUGCGGUAGGGGAGAUUGGAAUUCCUGGUGUAGCGGUGGAAUGCGCAGAUAUCAAGAGGAACACCGAUGGCGAAGGCAGAUCUCUGGGCCGUAACUGACGCUGAGGAGCGAAAGCGUGGGGAGCGAACAGGAUUAGAUACCCCCGUAGUCCCUGUCUCUUAUAA
rnacentral:rRNA from 1 species